rnacentral:rRNA from 1 species
AUGGCUGGUAAACCCUCGCUCCCGUCAGGCUUCGGCACGAGGCCAUGGCUGGUCCAAGCAACGCCCGAGGAGCGACAGACGUUCGUCGACUCGGCGGACGGCAGCUCGCACGCGGCGAUCGUUCCCGAGAUGCAAGGCAAAACGUGCCUAGGCUGCGUCCACGACGGCGACUGGCUGCUCAUGCUGGACGACUCCACCGCCGAAUGCUUCCUCCUCCGCCUCACCGAUUCAAAUGCCAAGAAGAUCCCGCUGCCGCCGCUGCACGAGCCGUCGGAUGACAUAGCGAGGUGUGCGACGCUCGGCACAUCGCCGGCGCACCAGGACUGUGCCGUGGUGGUCGCCGUUGCACGCGAGGUGGAAGACCGCGUGGAGACGUUCCUGCUUCACUGCCGCCCCGGCGCCUCGCAAGUGUGGGCCUGGCUUGAUGCCCCGGGGCUCACUUUCCCAUGCCUUAUGAUCGCCCAUAGAGGGAAGAUCUACUUCUUCGACACGCUCACCGUGAUAGGCCAAGACGGCGACGGCACGGUCCGAGCACGGCUGCUCGGCACUCUCGGCGGCACCAAAAAGAUACACGACAGAGCGGCCAUGUACUACGCCGUGGAGUCGUGCGGGGAUCUCUUCAUAAUAGUCACAGAGCAAUUUGGGGAGUUUGUCGGCGACCCCACACUCACCGGCGUCGCGGUGUACCGCCUGGAUCUUGAGUCCAUGACGUGGAAGAGGGUGGAUAGCAUCGGCGGCGACCGUGCCUUCCUCAUCUCCGGGCGCUACGCCAUCUCCGUGCCCCCGUCCAAGGGCAAGAGGGUUGGUACCGCAGGGCAACUGUGUGUACCUCGUCCUGUCGAGCGCGAGAGGCUAUACAAGUUCUGUUUGGACGACAACACCAUCAGCUUCCGCCAGAUCCUCCCGCAGCCCACCAAGCCUUGUUGCAGAGCAUUCUGGAUUGUUCCGCCAUUGCCCAUGUCCAUGGUAGUCGAAGAAAUUGGAUUGUUGUCGACUAAUGGAGUCGCGCCGAAAUUGUCCAUCUUGAAGUUGGAGGAGGACGAGGAGCAGGCCACCUCUUGUAAUACACGGCCAUGGCAUGAUCUGCCACUAAAAUUGCUACAACAGGUCGUCUCGAGACUUUCUUUGGUGGAUCGUAUCCGAUUCCCUGCAGUCUGCAAGUCGUGGAGCAUGGUGCCCAACCCAGUUGAGCAAGUCAAUGUGUGGCCUUGGCUCCUGCACUGCUCCGGCCGAGAUGGGGCAUGUACGUUAUUCGACCCUCUGCGCGGCCAGGAGUACAAAAUGACGGUUGGAACAUUCGACAUCAACCUAGACGAACAAGACGAGCAUAUUUUCCGAUUCUCCAAAAACGGUUGGGUGGCCAUGUCGACCAAUGCAGAUAUCGAUGACAUGUACAUCAUAAACCCCUUCAACGAGGACGUUGUGGAGAUACCCAUCCUCGAGAGGAAAUACUACUACAUGGGCCUGUCAUGGUCCUCGGCGGACCCGGCGUCACCGGAGUGCGUCUUCUUCGGCAUCGUCAGCCGGCACGACGGCAAAUCAAUGUCCUUAAUUACGUGGCGGCACGGCGAGAUCGAGUGGUUUGAAAGGCAUUUUGAGUAGUACGGAGGGGAGCCCUUCCCGGUGGCAUACAACAACCCCGUCUUCUUCCACGACAAGUUCUAUUGCCUCGGGAGAAAGGGCAACCUCGGCACGUUUGACCCGGCAAGCGACACAUGGAUGAUAUUGGAGAAGCCUAACCCGAUUCAUGUGGAGAUGGACCUCGAAGGCGACCACCAUGAGGGGAGAGAGUUUUGCUACCUGGUUGAGCUGGGAGAGGACCUCGUCUCCGUGUUCAUGCGUAACGCCGACGAGCCGCCACGGGUGUUCAAGCUCAACGAGGAGGAGAUGGCCUGGACAGAGGUACACGAGAUAGGCGGCGCGGCCUUGUUUCUUGAUUUCAGGGUGUCAUACGCCGUGGUGUCCCCGGAAGCUGGACAUGGCAAUAGGAUCUACUUCCCGAGGUAUUCCGAGAAUGGCAAACAAGCGGCUUUCUAUGAUAUGGAGACCAAGGCAUACCACCCAUCCUUCUAUGGGUUGAAGUCACCGUUGCAAUGUGUGUGGGUUGUGCCUAAUCUACGGCCACACAUCGUAUCAAAAUAA